rnacentral:rRNA from 1 species
GACGAACGCUGGCGGCGUGCUUAACACAUGCAAGUCACGGGGGCCCGCAAGGGUAACCGGCGAACGGGUGCGUAACACGUGAGCAACCUACCGAUUUGAGGGGGAUAGCCGGCCCAACGCCGGGUAAUACCGCAUACGCUCUUCCGGCCUCAUGGCGGGGAGAGGAAACCUCCGGGGCAGAUCGAGGGGCUCGCGGCCUAUCAGCUAGUUGGCGAGGUAACGGCUCACCAAGGCGACGACGGGUAGCUGGUCGAGAGGAUGGCCAGCCACAUUGGGACUGAGAGACGGCCCAGACUCCUACGGGAGGCAGCAGUGGGGAAUCUUGGGCAAUGGGCGAAAGCUUGACCCAGCCACGCCGCGUGAGUGAUGAA